UACCUGGGGGUUGACUGCUCUUCCAUUCCUGACCUACCGGAGCCCCAUCACUUCAAGAAACAAACAUCGGAAUCUUCCCCUUCCAGAUGCAAUUCCCUAUCGUGAAGCUGCAUCUUCGUAACCUGCAAGACUCCAUCUCUCAGCAUCCCAAGAGUAGAAGGCAGACCAGGUUGAAUGUUCUCUUCAGAAGGACAAGACAAGGGACAAGAGUUCAGAGAGAAUGAUCAAUGGAUUGAAUAAAUGGCAGAUCAACCUUGACAAGAUGGAACAAAUACAGUCAUUAGUGAAAUCCUAACAAC